rnacentral:tRNA from 1 species
GCCUGGGUGGCUCAGUCGGUUAAGCGUCUGACUUCAGCUCAGGUCACGAUCUCGCGGUCCGUGAGUUCGAGCCCCGCAUCGGGCU